rnacentral:rRNA from 1 species
AGAGUUUGAUCAUGGCUCAGGACGAACGCUGGCGGCGUGCCUAAUACAUGCAAGUCGAGCGGAUUUAGUUGAAAGCUUGCUUUCGAUUAAAUUAGCGGCGGACGGGUGAGUAACACGUGGGCAACCUGCCUGUAAGAUCGGGAUAACUAUCGGAAACGAUAGCUAAGACCGAAUAAUUGGUUUUCUCGCAUGAGGAGAUC